rnacentral:rRNA from 1 species
AUUGAACGCUGGCGGCAGGCCUAACACAUGCAAGUCGAGCGAGACGCGGACGGGAGAGCUAUGUAUGGGGCCUGCGCGGUAGAGGGGGAUAGCUACUGGAAACGGUUGCUAAUAACGCAUAAUAUCAGCUAACCCAUAUGGGAUUAGCUAGUAGUGGAGGUAAAGGCGUACCUAGGCGACGAGCUCUAGCUGGUCUGAGAGGAUGAUCAGCCACACUGGGACUGAGACACGGCCCAGACUCCUACGGAGGCAGCAGUGGGGAAUAUUGCACAAUGGGCGCAAGCCUGAUACAGCCAUGCCGCGUGUAUGAAGAAGGCCUUAGGGUUGUAAAGUACUUUCAGUGGGGAGGCGUUACCGGCAGAAGAAGCACCGGCUAACUCCGUGCCAGCAGCCGCGGUAAUAC